AACGAACGCUGGCGGCAUGCCUAACACAUGCAAGUCGAACGAAGGCUUCGGCCUUAGUGGCGCACGGGUGCGUAACGCGUGGGAAUCUGCCCUUUGGUUCGGAAUAACAGCUGGAAACGGCUGCUAAUACCGGAUGAUGACGAAAGUCCAAAGAUUUAUCGCCAGAGGAUGAGCCCGCGUUGGAUUAGGUAGUUGGUGGGGUAAAGGCCUACCAAGCCGACGACCCAUAGCUGGUCUGAGAGGAUGAUCAGCCACACUGGGACUGAGACACGGCCCAGACUCCUACGGGAGGCAGCAGUGGGGAAUAGUGGACAAUGGGCGCAAGCCUGAUCCAGCAAUGCCGCGUGAGUGAUGAAGGCCCUAGGGUUGUAAAGCUCUUUUAACCGGGAAGAUAAUGACUGUACCGGGAGAAUAAGCCCCGGCUAACUCCGUG
rnacentral:rRNA from 1 species